rnacentral:lncRNA from 1 species
UCAACAGCCCACAGGCUGAGAGACAUCCAAGCAGGGUCGGCUGUUCCCACCAGCUGCAGGAAAGGGGGUGGACAUGGGACCCUAAGCACUAUGGGUCUGGCUGCUGGGAAGAUGUUACUGGGCAGGGACCCACAGAUGGCCAGAGGCUGAAUCCCACCAGUACCUACCAUGAUGCAGACACUGACUCUGACUUCUGUCCAUCUUCCCAGAGACUGUCUAAAAGCUGCCCCCAAGUCCCAGAAAGGUGACUCGCCCAGCAUCGACUACACAGAGCUGCUGCAGCACUUUGAAAAAGUCCAGAAACAGCACCUGGAAGUAAGACACCAGCGCAGUGGACGUGGGGAUCACCUGGACCGCAGAGUUGUCCUCUGAUGUGCCUAGCAUGGAAAAGGGCCCUAGUGGCCUAAGAAGUACUCAGGGUCUCUAGGCUGAGGCCACAAGGAGCCUGAGAACCUGCCUCCAGUAGGGCUGGACCUGACCACCAGUCCAGGGUAGGGAGGGGGACAGUCUUGGCUCUGUCAGCCCCAGCUCUUCCCAGCAGAGCACUUGGACCCCAGCACUGUCAGCUACACCCUGGCUUGGGAUCGAUGGCUUCUCUCCUGAUUUGGACCACAGCCUUAGGAUCCAGAAGCAGCCUCUUUCUAAUCCCUGUCUGUGAGAAGAGCUUGACCUUGUCCCCGGCCCCAGAGCACUGUCAUGGUGUGUAUGCAUAUGCACAUCUGUGCAGAUAAUGCACACAGGCCAGCACAAAGACCUCUACAGAAUGAUGUUCACCCCUGCCCCAAUAAAGAAAUGACAGAAUCCUU